rnacentral:tRNA from 1 species
GGUUCCAUAGUGUAGCCGUUAACACGUCUGCUUUACACACAGAAGGUCCUGGGUUUGCGUCCCAGUGGACCA